rnacentral:lncRNA from 1 species
AAAACGACAAACAUUUCCAUAACUACCUUUGCCAAACUUGAUUGGCCAAAAUAAAUGAGAAUGCUAGUUUGGAGUGACAAACUGUCAGUCAUAGCUGUUCAAUUUGCAUCGUUUAACUAAACGGUUACAUCCUAAAAAAGACCCAUUUUAAUAUUCCCCUUACAUGCACCGUUUACUAACAUCAUUAUCCAAAUGCAACGUUUUGUGUUAAAUGAAACUAACAAAAGAUUAACAGAAAUCUAAACAUAGAAUCAUUCCUCUAAUUGCUCUAUAUCACAAUGUUAGGCAAAAAAUAUCAUCGGAAGUACUAGAGAUAGUCGAAAUUGCAGUGCCAUUUGAAUCACGCUCCACUGUUGCCCAACCGGUCUUAAUGUCCUCCCUGAAAUUUGCUGCAUCAAUGUUACAUUUCAACCAUCCCCCGAUGGCUUUUUUGAAGCAUUCCUCACUAGUGAAUCUGUAACAAAAGAAAGAUGGAGCCGAUCAAAAAAAGUUUGUGCCAUCUUCCAAUCCUGCACAAAAGAAGAAGCAAAGUGCACAACGUGAGCUGCCUGCAAGUCUUUCUACUUCCAGAUGAACAAGUUUCUAUGAAACCAUAAGUUGUAUAAUAAAGAAAGAACUUUCUCAAUGGUGACAGUAUUGAUGUUA